GAUGAACGCUGGCGGCGUGCCUAAUACAUGCAAGUCGAGCGAACAGACGAGGAGCUUGCUCCUCUGACGUUAGCGGCGGACGGGUGAGUAACACGUGGAUGACCUACCUAUAAGACUGGGAUAACUUCGGGAAACCGGAGCUAAUACCGGAUAAUAUAUUGAACCGCAUGGUUCAAUAGUGAAAGACGGUUUUGCUGUCACUUAUAGAUGGAUCCGCGCCGCAUUAGCUAGUUGGUAAGGUAACGGCUUACCAAGGCAACGAUGCGUAGCCGACCUGAGAGGGUGAUCGGCCACACUGGAACUGAGACACGGUCCAGACUCCUACGGGAGGCAGCAGUAGGGAAUCUUCCGCAAUGGGCGAAAGCCUGACGGAGCAACGCCGCGUGAGUGAUGAAGGUCUUCGGAUCGUAAAACUCUGUUAUUAGGGAAGAACAAAUGUGUAAGUAACUAUGCACGUCUUGACGGUACCUAAUCGGAAAGCCACGGCUAACUACGUG
rnacentral:rRNA from 1 species